rnacentral:rRNA from 1 species
GUGCCAGCCGCCGCGGUAAUACGAAGGGGGCUAGCGUUGUUCGGAAUUACUGGGCGUAAAGCGCGCGUAGGCGGUUUUGCAAGCCAGAGGUGAAAUGCCUGAGCUCAACUUAGGAAUUGCCUUUGGGACUGCGAGGCUUUGAGGACUGGAGAGGUGAGUGGAAUUCCCAGUGUAGAGGUGAAAUUCGUAGAUAUUGGGAAGAACACCGGUGGCGAAGGCGGCUCACUGGCCAGUUUCUGACGCUGCAGCGCGAAAGCGUGGGGAUCAAACAGGAUUAGAUACCCCCGUAGUCC